UAACGUAGCGAAAGCUACGCUAAUACCGCAUACGAUCUAUGGAUGAAAGCGGGGAUCGCAAGACCUCGCGCGAUUGGAGCGGCCGAUAUCAGAUUAGGUAGUUGGUGAGGUAAAGGCUCACCAAGCCGACGAUCUGUAGCUGGUCUGAGAGGACGACCAGCCACACUGGGACCUGAGACACGGCCCAGACUCCUACGGGAGGCAGCAGUGGGAAUUUUGGACAAUGGGCGCAAGCCUGAUCCAGCAAUGCCGCGUGCAGGAUGAAGGCCUUCGGGUUGUAAACUGCUUUUGUACGGAACGAAACGGUGAGCUCUAAUACAGUUUGCUAAUGACGGUACCGUAAGAAUAAGCACCGGCUAACUACGUG
rnacentral:rRNA from 1 species